GAUGAACGCUGGCGGCGCGCCUAACACAUGCAAGUCGAACGGUUAAAGCACCUUUUAGGUGUGUAUAAAGUGGCGAACGGCUGAGUAACACGUGGGCAACCUGCCCUCCUCUUGGGGAUAGCCUCGGGAAACCGAGGAUAAUACCCGAUACUUCAAUGUGGCCGCAUGACGACAUUGAGAAAGCUUUUGCGGAGAAGGAUGGGCCCGCGGCCUGUUAGCUUGUUGGUGGGGUAGAGGCCUACCAAGGCAAUGAUGGGUAGCUGGGUUGAGAGACCGACCAGCCAGAUUGGGACUGAGACACGGCCCAGACUCCUACGGGAGGCAGCAGUGGGGAAUCUUGCACAAGGGGCGAAAGCCUGAUGCAGCGACGCCGCGGGCGGGACGAAGGCCUUCGGGUUGGAAACCGCUUUCAGCAGGGACGAGGCGAUAAGUGACGGUACCUGCAGAAGAAGCCCCGGCUAACUACGUG
rnacentral:rRNA from 1 species